CGUCACAUAAUUAGAGUAAAUACAAAGUAGACUGAUGUGCAAGUGGUGUGCUGUGUAUGAGCUCAGUGAUUUCUUACGAUUUUAUAAUGGAUAACAAUAAGAUACAGUUAAUCGGUGCACCUUGCGGACACCACGGCCCCUAUACGUUCUAUAAAGCGUUUAAAUAUAACAAAAACGGAAAGUGCAGGAUUUUAGCCCUAAGUGAUUUUUUCUUUGUGAAGUUAUGGAGUGAUUCUGAUUUAAUGAGUAUUGGAGAAUUACAGUUGUUGUGGAUGGACAAAAAUAGCGAACAAGUGCUAGCGAGCUUACGUUUAUAUUUUCUACCCGAAAAUACGCCAGAAGGAAGAAGUGAUGAUCAUGGAGAGGUACACGCGUGCAGUCCUACAUAUUGAAAUCCUCGCGUCACAGUCUAUCACACACAGUCCUGACACACACUGCUGUGAAAAUUGCCGUCUGACAAUUGAUACGACGCUAGCGCCCCUACGUGCGAGAAAGUCAGCCGUAAGCCACGCAGGCGGCAGAGAGCGCUUGGCUGCGCUGUCUCCCGACCACAGCGAUAAGGCCUCACCCACUGACGACGGGACCCUGGAGCACGGGUAGCGAAUGCGUCGCACAGUGUAGUGUCGUUCAGUACAGAAUGCAUUUUAAUGUUUCGUGACGUCUCUCUGUUCAAUUUACAAACACAUGCUUUAUUUACGUUUCAAUAUUUUUACACUGAAUCAGCAUCAUCAGACAAAAUAAUGUAAUGUCGUAAGUACAAGAAAAUAAUACAAUCGCACAUUUAAACAAAUGACACUACAUAAUACUACACUACAUAAUAGAUCACUUAGAAGAUAAAUACGCUACAUAAUUAGGU